UACGUAGGGUGCGAGCGUUUAAUCGGAAUUACUGGGCGUAAAGCGUGCGCAGGCGGUUUUGUAAGCCGGAUGUGAAAUCCCCGGGCUUAACCUGGGAAUGGCAUUCGGGACUGCAAGGCUGGAGUGCGGCAGAGGAGACUGGAAUUCCUGGUGUAGCAGUGAAAUGCGUAGAUAUCAGGAGGAACACCGAUGGCGAAGGCAGGUCUCUGGGCUGACACUGACGCUCAUGCAC
rnacentral:rRNA from 1 species